rnacentral:rRNA from 1 species
CGAACGCUGGCGGCAGGCUUAACACAUGCAAGUUGAACGGGAUUUGAUGGUAGCUUGCUAUCAUUAAUGAGAGUAGCGCACUGGUGAGUAACACGUGGGAACGUACAUUGUAGUGGGGGACAACAGCUGGAAACGGUUGCUAAUACCGCAUAAUCCCUGAGGGGGAAAGAUUUAUCGCUAUAAUAUCGGCCCGCGGAAGAUUAGGUAGUUGGUGGGGUAAAGGCCUACCAAGCCUACGAUCUAUAGCUGGUCUGAGAGGACGAUCAGCCACAUUGGAACUGAGACACGGUCCAGACUCCUACGGGAGGCAGCAGUGAGGAAUAUUGGGCAAUGGAGGCAACUCUGAACCCCCAGCCAUGCCGCGUGAGUGAGAAGGUUUUCGAAUUGUAAAGCUCUUUCGGGUGUGAAGAUGAUGACGGUAGCACCAGAAGAAGCCCCGGCAAACUUCGUGCCAGCCGCGGC